rnacentral:rRNA from 1 species
GGGGAAUAUUUGACAAUUGGCGCAAACCUGAUCCAGCACUUCCGCGUGGGUGGAGAAGGCCUUCGGGGUUUAACGCCCUUUUAUUGGGAAAGAAAUCCAGCCGGCUAAUACCUGGUUUGGAUGAUGGUACGCCAAGUAGAAAGCCCGGCUAACUUCGUGCCAGCAGCCGCGGUAAUACGAAGGGUGCAAGCGUUACUCGGAAUUACUGGGCGUAAAGCGUGCGUAGGUGUGUCGUUUAAGUCCGUUGUGAAAGCCCUGGGCUCAACCUGGGAACUGCAGUGGAUACUGGGCGACUAGAGUGUGGUAGAGGCUAGCGGAAUUCCUGGUGUAUCAGUGAAAUGCGUAGAGAUCAGGAGGAACAUCCAUGGCGAAGGCAGCUACCUGGACCAACACUGACACUGAGGCACGAAAGCUUGGGGAGCAAACA